CAGCAGUAGCCACGGGAAUACAGAGGGUGCGAGCGUUAAUCGGAUUUACUGGGCGUAAAGCGUGCGUAGGCGGCUUCUUAAGUCGGAUGUGAAAUCCCUGAGCUUAACUUAGGAAUUGCAUUCGAUACUGGGAAGCUAGAGUAUGGGAGAGGAUGGUAGAAUUCCAGGUGUAGCGGUGAAAUGCGUAGAGAUCUGGAGGAAUACCGAUGGCGAAGGCAGCCAUCUGGCCUAAUACUGACGCUGAGGUACGAAAGCAUGGGGAGCAAACAGGAUUAGAUACCCCCGUAGUCCCUGUCUCUUAUAC
rnacentral:rRNA from 1 species